rnacentral:tRNA from 1 species
GAGGGUAUAGCUCAGUGGUAGAGUAUGUGCCUAGCAUGCAUGAGGUCCUGGGUUCAACCCCGGUACCUCUA